rnacentral:rRNA from 1 species
GAUGUGGGUUAAGUCCCGCAACGAGCGCAACCCUCGCCUCUAGUUGCCAGCAUUCGGUUGGGCGACUCUAGAGGGACUGCCGGCGACAAGUCGGAGGAAGGUGGGGAUGACGUCAAAUCAUCAUGCCCCUUAUGAUCUGGGCUACACACGUGCUACAAUGGGCGGUACAAAGGGCUGCGAACCCGCGAGGGGGAGCGAAUCCCAAAAAGCCGCUCUCAGUUCGGAUUGCAGGCUGCAACUCGCCUGCAUGAAGCCGGAAUCGCUAGUAAUCGCGGAUCAGCAUGCCGCGGUGAAUACGUUCCCGGGCCUU